CUGUGUUCUCUCAUUUUACUCCAGACCUUUUGCCUGAGCAGAGCAUAAAACAUUUAUUCCCAAAAGUGAUACUGAGAAGAUAUGAAAGCUAUAGCAUUGAAAAUUUAAACUUAAGAAAAGACUGGAAAAGUGUGGGUUACUGUAAGGGACAGAAAAAAAGUUAUAAUGGACUUAACCAAUAUUUAUCAACUACCCUUAGCAAAAUCUUUAACCCCUACAAUUGUAAGGAAUGUAGCAAAGGUUUUAAUUUGUGCUCAACUUUUACUGUAAGUGAGUUCAUUCUGGAGAGAAAUGCGAAGAAUGUGGCAAAGUCCAGCCCUCAGGCCUUAUAAUACACAAAAUUAUUUAUGCUGGAAAAAAUCACUACACGUGUGGAGAAUGUGGCCAGGCCUUUGACCAGUUCCAAACCUUUCUUAUACAUGAGAGAAUUGAUAUUGGACAAAAAUCUUAUACAUGUAAAAAAAUGUAACAAAGCCUUUAACCAGCCCUCAAAACAUUCAUUCUAGAGAGAAACCCUACAAAAGCAAAGAAUGUGGUAAAGCUUUUAACUAGUCUUGAACCCUUAUUAUACGUAAGAGAAUUAAUAUGAAGAGAAACCCUAUAAUAAGGAAUAUGGAAAUGUCUUUAAAAAGUCCUCAAACCUGAAUAAAUGUAAGAUAAUUGAUACUGGAGAGAACCCCUGCAAUUGUAGAAAAAAAUGUGGCAAAGUCUUUAACUGGUUCUCCAUCCUUGUUAAUUAAACAAUUUUAUACUGGAGAGAAACUCCACAUACGUAAAAAAUGUGACGGAGCAUUUAACCACACCUCAAUCUUUUCUACAAACCAUACUGGUGAGAAACUCUAGAAAUGUGUUAAAUGUGUUAAAUGUGGCAAGGCCUUUAAAUGGUAGUCACAUGUUUAUGGUAGGCAAGAUAAUUUAUACUGAAGAAAACCCCUACAAAUAUGAAGAAUGUGGCAAAACAUUUAACAAAUUCUCACACCUUAUUGCACCAGAAAGCAUUUAUGCUAGAGAAAAAUUGUACAAAUACAAGAAUGUGAAAAGCCAUUAAUAUCUGCUCACAUCUUACUCAA
rnacentral:lncRNA from 10 species